rnacentral:rRNA from 1 species
GCUGCCUUAACAUGCAAGUCGAACGGCAGCACGGGAGCAAUCCUGGUGGCGAGUGGCGAACGGGUGAGUAAUAUAUCGGAACGUGCCCAAUUGUGGGGGAUAACGUAAAGAAAUUUACGCUAAUACCGCAUGAGAUCUACGGAUGAAAGCGGGGGACUUCGCAAGAGGCCUCGCGCGAUUGGAGCGGCUGAUAUCAAAUUAGGUUGUUGGUGAGGUAAAAGCUCACCAAGCCGACGAUCUGUAGCUGGUUUGAGAGAACGACCAGCCACACUGGGACUGAGACACGGCCCAGACUCCUACGGGAGGCAGCAGUGGGGGAAUUUUGGGACAAUGGGGCGAAAGCCUGAUCCAGCAAUGCCGCGUGCAGGAAA